AGUUGCCGUAAAUUGUGCCAGUCGCGACCGCUCGCGACACACCGCAAAGGAGACACAAACGCUAAACUAUGGAUUUUGGCGGAGAUAAUGGAAAGUACAGCAAAGAAGAGGAGAUGCAGCUUCAACAAAGACUGGGAAACUACAUAUCACUGGGUGAAGCCGGUGCAAGGUGAUUCUCAGAGAGUUUUCUGUGGUUUGCCAGAGUUCGUUUUCCGUUUCACACGGUGGGGAGAACGACGUGAAGCGACACAGUACAUGCGAGACCCCCCUCUCAGCUUUGGAGGAUUGUUUGUACAGCGGUCUGAUCUCGGUUACGGAGCGCUGCGCAACGUCCAGCCGUCAGUCUGCAGCGCAGAUCCCGCAACAAAAACGCCGAGAGACUAUCUGGUUGCAAAGAAAUCCGGGGGCGGUGUGUUUACCUCUCCGCUGCUCCUGCUGCCGAGCUCGGUAGGAAAUCAGCUGCUUCGCGCUGGAGGGACGCCAUUAGUCUGAGAGGAGGCUUCCCUUCCCUUCUGCUGUCCUACGCUGCCCCUCAAUGGAGAGAUCCACACCGACCGGCUUUACACGGGGGAGAGCGCCCCCGUGCGGGCAGCACAGUGAAGACACCCUUUCUACAAGGAUCAGGUGGAAGCUGAAUUAGUGAGGAUGACUCCUGCUCCUGUCAUCUCUAAGCUCCUCACACAUCUUUACCUGCACAUGAAGAAAAUCACUCCUGUAGAAUGCAGAUGUUCAGAGGGAGAUGAUGCCACAUCUGGUCCAGCCAAUGGAAGGUCUUGAAGUUCUCUGACUGGCCUCGACUGAAGAUGGUCGUCUCACUGGAUUUAAGGUUCAGAUGCUCAGUAACAAACUCCACCAAUGAGCCAACAGGGAAGCUUUAGGUUUAUUAAAUGUUGCUAUGAAGGUAUCGCUGUUUUUCUUUGUGAAUGAAAUGUGCUCCAACUGAAACUUGAAUUAGAACUUAGAAGUAAAUCCUUCCAUCUGAAAGGAUUUAGUUGCAUUAAUAACCUCAUAACAUUCUAAUUUUUAUUCCAGUCUUAGUUGAAAAUAGAAUCUCUGUAUUGAUUCAGGUAAAAACUGAACUUUACAGCAUGUUGGAGCAAAACAACCAGAUGAAAACUGUGAUGGUGUUGGAUUGUCAGACCGUAAUGUUGCAGCUCAAAGCAGCUUUUCUAUCUCAGUUCAUUCUGACAUUCAGCUAUGAAUCAACACAGCAGAUGGUGAUCCAUGCUGUGGAAGUCUCACAUCUCCUGAUUUAAUGGAGCUGCUUUGCACUUUUUACACUGUUUAUUCACCAACACUUUAUUUAAUAAAAGUCCCAUCUAGUUUUUAUGAGGAAUGUGAUGUUUUAAUUUCUCUGUGAAUAACUGCAGUCUAAUGCAACAGCUGGAGUUGUAACAUCUGUCCUGAUAUUGAUCAUGAAGUAUUGAUCAGAAUACUUACGGUUAGCAGUCAUCCCUGAAGUUUUACAUUAAAAUCUUUACUUGUGUUGUGAACUUUGGUAAGAAGCAGAAACUUUUGCGUUGCCAUGGAUACAUGAGUGUUAAAUUCUGUCCAUGUUUCCAUUUUGGGAAAUGCAGUCCAGUUCCAGAAUGUGGAGGAAUUUAUUCUCAAUCACAGACAACAAAUAUUAUCUGAAAGUUGGGUUAUUCUUGUUUAUCAGCACAAUACAAAAAGAUUAAUGUUAGAAAUAUUCCAGUUAAGACUCUAGAAUAUCAUGAUUUAUGUAAAUUUACCUCAGUAAUAUAAAUGUUCAGGUUAAGAUUGUACAGUGAUAUUAUGUAAGUUUAGCUGAUUAAAGUUUAUGACUCUGCACUAAAAUAUUAUUUAAAUUGACAUCAUUAUUAUAAUAUUUAGGGUCAGACCCUACAGUAUUGAGAUUAAGAAAUUAAAUAUUCUAUAAAACGUAAAUACACUGAACUAAUUUGGAUAUAUUUAAGUGAAACUACAAUAUUAUUUGACACAAAUCUAUCUAAAUCAAAAUCUUAAUUUUCACGCCAAACAUUUACUGGACUGAUUUAAAUAUUAAAAUCACUCCUUUCUAAUCCUCUGCUGUACGUUCAAACCUGAGGCCUUAAAUAGAAACACACAAGUAUCUGUUUGAAGGAACUUCUGCAGAGUCCUGGUUCCAGAACAUGAUGAUAGAGUUCUAGACAAACUUUAACAAAAGCUGCCUGAGAGUUUACAGGUUUUUAUGUGAGAUUUCUUCAGUAAUUUAAUGAGAGUUAUCAGCAAAAAGCAAGUGUUCAUUUGAUGAACUUCAUUUCCUAAAACAUCCAGAAUUGGAGCUCAUAUCUUUGGCAGCUGUAAAGUUUCUGCUCCUUCAUACUUCACAACAAUGAAUUAAUUCCUGAAACACUCUCAGUGCUGGAGAGCGUUUGAUGCUGAAACAGUGACCAGUUUUUCUGUUUCUUCUCUGGAGAUGCACCAUGAGGGACGUCUGCAGAGACUGAGAAAGAGUCUCACCACAUCCUGACAUGAGGAAAAGACUUUAUUGAAAGCUACAAUGAGAAAAACUAUCAGACAGCAGACGACAUGCAUUCAAGGUGAGCUCUGAACAUUUGAUCUAGAACAGGAAUUCAAUAAUGGCAGCAUGAGCUUCAUUUCAGCCUGUAGCUGCUGAAUUCAUGGAUGAAUCAUCUGGUGCUAGAGAGGAAGACCAUCAAACAUCCAUGUCAGCUGAUGGAGGUCCAAGAGUCUCACUGAACAAACAACCUACAGAGUGAAGACCUCAAAUCUGAUUGGACGGCCUCCUAUUGAGCCACAUGUGUGAACAAAUGCCUCUAAGCUGAUUUGUUUUCUAAAAUAAAUCUAGUUUGAGUCCUAA